rnacentral:rRNA from 1 species
UACGUAGGGGGCAAGCGUUGUCCGGAAUCAUUGGGCGUAAAGAGCGUGUAGGCGGCCCGGUAAGUCCGCUGUGAAAGUCGGGGGCUCAACCCUCGAAUGCCGGUGGAUACUGCCGGGCUAGAGUCCGGAAGAGGCGAGUGGAAUUCCUGGUGUAGCGGUGGAAUGCGCAGAUAUCAGGAGGAACACCGAUGGCGAAGGCAGGUCUCUGGGCUGACACUGACGCUCAUGCACGAAAGCGUGGGGAGCAAACAGG